UAUAUGGCAUUACGGAAAGAGCAGUAGUGGAUAAAAAUUUAAACGGCUUGUAAAACAGUGAUUUCUAGAAGACCAGAAGUAAUCGGCAGCUGUUCACUAAAGUGAUUAGUAAUCUACAGCCUAACACAGUGAUCGAAAAUAGACACCGGUUGUUCGAGUCUAAACCCUAGACCAAUUGUUCAAGCGCAAUUCCCGCUGUUGCCGUGGCUGUUGCUAACCUGCAAAGAGAGAAAGAAGAUUAAUAUUUAAAGCAAAUCGCGAUCUUUACCAGGAUAAGGAAAGGGCAAGAAAAGCAAAAGAGAUAGCGAAGGAAGGAACGAUAGUGGAAAAAAGGAUUAUAGUGUGUACGAAGAUUAGAAAGGAAACUACUUAUUUUUGAGCUGCAUAAAACAAAUUGCUGCUACAGAAAAUAGUUACCAGUUCUAUCCGAACAGGAGGAAUGGAUGGAAGAAGUGGUUUGUCCCAUCUACAAAAAAGGUGAUCGGUUAUUACGCUGGUAAAUGCCGCCUACAAGGUACUCUCCCAGAUCCUGUUACGCUGGUUGUCACCGAUAGCACAAGGUUUCGUAGGGAAUUAUCAGGCGGGUUUCAUGGGGGCUCGCGCUACUACGGACCAAAUUUUUACUAUCCGACAGAUCUUGCAGAAAUGUCGGGAAUACAACGUGCCCACGCAUCACAUCUUUAUUGAUUCCAAAGCAGCAUACGAUACAGUCGAUCAAGACAAGCUCUGGCAGAUAAUGCACGUACACGGUUUUCCGGACAAACUGACGCGACUGCUCAGAGCUACAUUGGAUCGAGUGAUGUGUUUCGUACGUAUCUCUGGGACACUCUCGAGUCCCUUGGAGACGCGGUGAGGGUUGAGACAAGGUGACGGUUUAUCCUGUAUGCUGUUCAACAUCGCUCUUGAGGGGGUAAUCCGACGAGCGGGCAGCGAAACGAGAGGCACGAUUUUUACCAAGGGUAGCCAACUUCUUGGCUUUGCAGAGUUUGGCGACGAGUGGCCCAAAACCGAGUUGAAUGGAGACGAGUGCUUGAAACAGCACGAGCCAUCCCGGCUCUAUGCUGAAGGAGUCCCGCAGCUGGCAAAUCCGUACAAAUCUUGUCUUUGACAAUAAAAUCAUACGAUCAAGUCUCGUCUGGAAGUCAGGCUUUAAGGUAACAUGUAGUGAACGUGCAUCACAAAUCUGCGGAUAUAAUUAGUUGAAAAAACCCAACGGGUGCAAUGCAAUGGGUUGAACAUUUAGCGAGAAUGCCAGAUGAACAACCAGCAGACUAUAGUAUUCCAAAAGUUGUAGUGUAUUUUGGAAAUGAAGGACAAAGAGUUACAACAUUUCAUGAAUCAUGACGCCGCUUGGAGCUUUCUGUCGUACAUUUGAUAAAAAUUUGAAUACAGUAUGGUUGCCGCCCCAUGCUUCAGUAGAUCUGCUGUUUACAGAUUUCAAGGCAGCGUUUGAUUCAGUUAAGCGAAUUGGCAAUACAGGUAACUUGCUCUAUUCAGAGAAUUCUUCCGAAUAAUGUACAAUUUGCAGUCUCUAUUGUUUGUCGAUUAGACUAUUAGUUUUUCUACUCAACCCAUUAGUCAGUUCUCAACUACCCUCAGAACAGUAAGCAAUCUGUAGAUUGCCAUUUCAAAAUUAUUAUUUUUGGAAUUGCAAAAUUGAACGGCAAGUGAUAUUAAAUUAGCAUCCGUACAUCCGAUGGAUUGUUGAAACUUUAAUACGAUACC